UACCUCAAAAAACCACAACAGUCUGUUUCAUCCGUAUAGGAAUCAUCAGGUGGUCUGAUGAUUCCUAUACGGAUGAAACAGACUGUUGUGGUUUCU